AAGUCGUAACAAGGUUUCCGUAGGUGAACCUGCGGAAGGAUCAUUAAAAAGUGUUGCCCGUAAGGGUAUACCACACCCGUGUCUAUAUACUCUUGUUGCUUUGGCAGGCCGUGUUCUUCCACUGUGGGCUCUGCCUGCAUGUGCCUGCCAGAGAACCAAACUCUGAAUAUUAGUGAUGUCUGAGUACUAUAUAAUAGUUAAAACUUUCAACAACGGAUCUCUUGGUUCUG
rnacentral:misc_RNA from 1 species